rnacentral:rRNA from 1 species
GAUGAAGCAUUUCGGUGUGUAAACCCCUGUUGCUCGGGACGAACAAGCCUUUUCGAGGGCUCUGACGGUACCGAGUGAGGAAGCACCGGCUAACUCCGUGCCAGCAGCCGCGGUAAUACGGAGGGUGCGAGCGUUGUCCGGAAUCACUGGGCGUAAAGGGCGCGUAGGCGGUCUGCUAAGCGUGUGGUGAAAGCUCGGGGCUCAACCCCGAGUCGGCCAUGCGAACUGGUGGACUAGAGCACUGUAGAGGCAGGUGGAAUUCCGGGUGUAGCGGUGGAAUGCGUAGAGAUCCGGAAGAACACCGGUGGCGAAGGCGGCCUGCUGGGCAGUAGCUGACGCUGAGGCGCGACAGCGUGGGGAGCAAACAGGAUUAGAUACCCUGGUAGUCCACGCCGU